rnacentral:rRNA from 1 species
AUUGAACGCUGGCGGCAGGCUUAACACAUGCAAGUCGAGCGGGGGAAGGUAGCUUGCUACCGGACCUAGCGGCGGGCGGGUGAGUAAUGCUUAGGAAUCUGCCUAUUAGUGGGGGACAACGUCUCGAAAGGGAUGCUAAUACCGCAUACGUCCUACGGGAGAAAGCAGGGGAUAUUCGGACCUUGCGCUAAUAGAUGAGCCUAAGUCGGAUUAGCUAGUUGGUGGGGUAAAGGCCUACCAAGGCGACGAUCUGUAGCGGGUCUGAGAGGAUGAUCCGCCACACUGGGACUGAGACACGGCCCAGACUCCUACGGGAGGCAGCAGUGGGGAAUAUUGGACAAUGGGGGGAACCCUGAUCCAGCCAUGCCGCGUGUGUGAAGAAGGCCUUAUGGUUGUAAAGCACUUUAAGCGAGGAGGAGGCUACUUUAGUUAAUACCUAGAGAUAGUGGACGUUACUCGCAGAAUAAGCACCGGCUAACUCUGUGCCAGCCGCCGCGGUAA